rnacentral:sRNA from 1 species
UGAGGGCAGUCUGGUUAACAUCUGUCACUCCAUUGCUUGUCAGGAUUAUUUUAGCUGGUGUGUCUGACUGGGCAGGUGUCCCCUCUCUCCCUCA